GGGAGGAGAGGGGAGGUUGAACCUCAGGAGCUAAUUGUAACUGAGCGGAGUGAAACAGUCAUUGAAUUGGUUUGGAGUUGGAGCGAGGCUUUGCGAAAACUUUUUUAUGUAGCUUUUUUUAUCAUUAUUGAAAUUGUUCGUCAUUUGGACUGACCAUCUUGGGUCUUUUGAAAACCUCGAAUUACGGAAUACAGAGUUUGGUCUUUGGGCUUUAUGGCUACGAAUAUCGAACCUGUCUAUGGACUUUCUGAAGAUGAAGAUGAAUCUCGAGUUCUUCGUGUCAAGGUUAUUGCGGGCAUUGAUCUGGCAAAGAAGGACAUCUUUGGUGCCAGAUGGAGCACAGGCAGGUGAAGUGUCGUACUCAUUGUCACAUGGUGUCGGUAGCAGAUUUGAACCCACAACCUCAGUUUGAAGUCCAAAGCCUUAACUACUACACCGCACUGCCUGCCUACAAACAAAUAGUAACUGAUUCAGAAAUGAUCAGACAGUAGCUCAAAGCUCCCAGCUUUACUUAAACAUGAAAAUCUUAGUCUAGUUUGAUUUUUAGCCUAGAGGUGCAGUAAUUCGCUGUAAAUAUUGUGCCAUUCAGCUCAGCUUUUAGAGGCUAUUAGAAGAAUGAUUGUUGAUGGUCAUGUGUUCUUACGGCUUUUGAAAAGAAUUUAAAGUCCGUCAUUCUUCAGGAUGACAUGUCAGUAUACAAGAGAUAAUCUGUUGGCGGUCUACCAGGAUUUUUAAAAUGAUGGAUGUUCUUGGCUGUAUACUUCAUCAAGAUAACUGAAUGUAAUUAGCAUUUAUGGUCUUGUAAUCAUCAUUUUUACUAAAUCCAGGAUGGAAACAAAUGUUAUAGCACUUCCAUUGUAAAAAUGAUUAUUUUUCCCUGAGUCAACAUAGUCACCUUUAACCUUAUGUAGCAAAAUUCUAUUUUCUU